AAUUUGCCGUGUGAUUCAGGUGCCGGGGGAGCCCCCGGAUAAAAGGGAAUCCGGUAAGACAGUCGUCAAAUCCGGAGCUGCCCCCGCAACUGUAGGCGGAGAGCCUGUCCGAAUGCCACUGGCGCGUAUCGCGCGCUGGGAAGGCCGGACCAGGCGAAGACCCGCAAGUCAGGAAACCUGCCUGGAUCGAUCACCUGUU
rnacentral:ncRNA from 1 species